UCCGCAUGGACGAAGUCUGACGGAGCAACGCCGCGUGAGUGAUGAAGGUCCUAGGAUCGUAAAACUCUGUUAUUAGGGAAGAACAAGGAUGUAAGUAACUGUGCAUCCCUUGACGGUACCUAAUCAGAAAGCCACGGCUAACUACGUGCCAGCAGCCGCGGUAAUA
rnacentral:rRNA from 1 species